rnacentral:rRNA from 1 species
UGUAAGCGUAUACCAAAGUUGUUGCAGUUAAAACGCUCGUAGUCGGAAUUUGGCAGUUCCGGAUGUGUGCACGUCGUGUGCGCACUUCGCGGGGAUUGCUUUUGUGGUCUUGCGUAGGAUGAGGCACUUUUAUUAGUGAACGUCCUCACGCAACCACUUUUUACUGUGAGAAAAUCAGAGUGCUCAAAGCAGGCAUUUGCCGUGAAUGUAUUAGCAUGGAAUAAUAGAAUAGGACUUGGUUCUAUUUUGUUGGUUUGUUGGGACUGAGUAAUGAUUAAGAGGGACAGUUGGGGGCAUUUGUAUUUCGGUGCUAGAGGUGAAAUUCUUAGAUUACCGAAAGACAAACUGCUGCGAAAGCAUUUACCAAGGAUGUUUCCAUUAA